GACGAACGCUGGCGGCGUGCCUAAUACAUGCAAGUAGAACGCACAGUUUAUACCGUAGCUUGCUACACCAUAGACUGUGAGUUGCGAACGGGUGAGUAACGCGUAGGUAACCUGCCUGGUAGCGGGGGAUAACUAUUGGAAACGAUAGCUAAUACCGCAUAAUAUUAAUUAUUGCAUGAUAAUUGAUUGACAGAUGCAACUGCAUCACUACCAGAUGGACCUGCGUUGUAUUAGCUAGUAGGUGAGGUAACGGCUCACCUAGGCGACGAUACAUAGCCGACCUGAGAGGGUGAUCGGCCACACUGGGACUGAGACACGGCCCAGACUCCUACGGGAGGCAGCAGUAGGGAAUCUUCGGCAAUGGACGAAAGUCUGACCGAGCAACGCCGCGUGAGUGAAGAAGGUUUUCGGAUCGUAAAGAUCUGUUGUAAGAGAAGAACGGGUGUGAGAGUGGAAAGUUCACACUGUGACGGUAUCUUACCAGAAAGGGACGGCUAACUACGUG
rnacentral:rRNA from 1 species